rnacentral:rRNA from 1 species
GCUUAACGCGAAGAACCUUACCUAGGCUUGACAUGCAUCUCUAAGCGCGUGAAAGCGCGUGACCCUUCGGGGGAUUUGCACAGGUGCUGCAUGGCCGUCGUCAGCUCGUGUCGUGAGAUGUUGGGUUAAGUCCCGCAACGAGCGCAACCCUUGUGAACAGUUGCCAGCACUUAAGGUGGGAACUCUGUUCAGACUGCCCAGAUCAACUGGGAGGAAGGUGGGGACGACGUCAGGUCAGUAUGGCCCUUACGCCUAGGGCUGCACACGUACUACAAUGCCCAGCACAAUGAGAACCGAGACCGCGAGGUGGAGGAAAUCUAAAAAACUGGGCCCAGUUCGGAUUGGAGGCUGCAACUCGCCUCCAUGAAGUUGGAAUCGCUAGUAAUGGCGCAUCAGCUACGGCGCCGUGAAUACGUUCCCGGGUCUUGUAC